AUUGAACGCUGGCGGCAGGCCUAACACAUGCAAGUCGAACGAGUGGCGGACGGGUGAGUAAUGUCUGGGAAACUGCCCGAUGGAGGGGGAUAACUACUGGAAACGGUAGCUAAUACCGCAUACCAUCGGAUGUGCCCAGAUGGGAUUAGCUUGUAGGUGAGGUAACGGAUCACCUAGGCGACGAUCCCUAGCUGGUCUGAGAGGAUGAACAGCACCGAUGGAACUUCGACACGUGCCAGAGUCCGACGCGAGGAAGAAGUGGUGAAGAUUGUACAAUGGGCGGUAGCCUUAUACAGCCAGGCCGCGUGUAGGAAGAAGGCCUUCGUGUUGUAAAGUACUUUCCGCGGGGAGGCGUUACCCUCAGAAGAAGCACCGGCUAACUCCGUGCCAGCAGCCGCGGUAAUUC
rnacentral:rRNA from 1 species